CGAACUUCCGUUAAUUGAUUAUGACGUACUUGUACUGAUUGAGAUUUUAACACGAAGUGAGUGGCGAACGGGUGAGUAACACGUGGGUAACCUGCCCAGAAGUAGGGGAUAACACCUGGAAACAGAUGCUAAUACCGUAUAACAGAGAAAACCGCAUGGUUUUCUUUUAAAAGAUGGCUCUGCUAUCACUUCUGGAUGGACCCGCGGCGUAUUAGCUAGUUGGUGAGGUAAAGGCUCACCAAGGCAGUGAUACGUAGCCGACCUGAGAGGGUAAUCGGCCACAUUGGGACUGAGACACGGCCCAGACUCCUACGGGAGGCAGCAGUAGGGAAUCUUCCACAAUGGACGCAAGUCUGAUGGAGCAACGCCGCGUGAGUGAAGAAGGGUUUCGGCUCGUAAAGCUCUGUUGUUAAAGAAGAACGUGGGUAAGAGUAACUGUUUACCCAGUGACGGUAUUU
rnacentral:rRNA from 1 species